AUGGCGGAGCUCGACCUGCAGAAGUUGAUGGCGGAGGCUACGCAGCAGCGGAGCAGCAUCACCACCACGCUCCUUGCGAUCCAGAAGUCACUCGACAAGAUGCAGCCGAUGAUCACCAAGAGGGAGCCGAUGCUGGCGUCCCUCGAGCCGGCUGUCAACGAGCUCCCUGCCCGGCGUCCCAGGGGGGACACGGCGGUGGGCAAGCUGCAGGCGGACGGCGAUAUUCUAGGGCUCCUCGCCAAGAUCGCCACCAGAUUGUUCCCUUCAGGCAGCUCCUCCACCAUGGUGUCCUCAAGGUGUUCGACAGAGUGCCUUAUCCACGCUGAUGACUGGGUGCAGCCUAUGUCCGCCAACAACAAGGAAUCCAACAUCACCCCUGUUGUAGCAGUCGAAAACAACACUGUGGACCCCAUUGCUCCUGUGCCCACCGUGGGUUCGAGGAGCAGCCCUGCAGCCAUUACAACGGUUAUACCUACAACGAGUGAUGCCGAGGAUGUGCGUGAAGUCGUCCUCCCUGCAGCAAGUGUCUACUCCACCACAGCGCACGACACCUGCUCAACCUCGGCGGCCAUGAUGGAGAUGGACUCAGCAACCGUGCUCAAGCUCCUGCCCACUUUGGAGUAUCCUUGCGACACAAGCCCAUCAUCAGUCGUGACAGUCAGGAUCCUAUCUUCGGAUGUUACAGGUUAUGACUUCUUGACAUUGCCAUGGGAUCCUGGACAACGAGCAAUUGAUUUAACUCCAUUAAUCCAUGCUGAAGGCUAUGAUGCAAACAAGGCCAAAUGUGUGCCCACUGUUCAAGUGCUCGGAUGGGACCUGAUUAGUGGUUUCCAUCAUGAGAAGCCAUGGGAUCCUUGGACUUCCUUGUUGACCGCGCCAUCUCACAUUACAUACAUGAUAGGUUCUAUGUAG
rnacentral:rRNA from 1 species